CAACAGAAACAUUGUGAUUUAAUUCUGUUUCUGACACAUGAUGGAUCUGCGAGUCUCUGUCAUUCUUCUUUUCAUUUUUCUCACUGGAGGUACAAAAAACAGCAAGUGUUGAAUGUAUUAUUUGGUACACUGAGAUCACUGAAUGUCUCUCUCUGUCUUUAAGGAUAUUCUCUCCAGUGUUACGUGUGUGUGCCUGAUCAGAAGGGUUCCUGUAGUGCACAAGAGGGAACAUGUCCAGUUGGAUUUUCUAAAUGUUCAAGCAUUACAGUGGAACUAUCAGAUGGUUCCACUAAGAUGUCCGUCAUAACUAAAGGGUGUGCAGAGGAAUGUGAUCCAGGGACCGAAAAGGCGCCAGGUGUGACAAAGUCUAUCUGCUGUGACACUGAUCUUUGCAAUGCAGCAGAUAAUAGAGCAAACAAUGCAGCAGAUGGAGUGUUUAAGGGAAGCUUCCUCCUGCUCUUCUCUCCUCUGCUCUUCUACUUCCUGUUUCAGUGAGUCCAGAUUCAAGACUUCAGAUUCUACAGUGAAGAUCAGCACAAAAACACAUUCUUUCAUACACA